UACGUAGGGGGCAAGCGUUGUCCGGAUUUAUUGGGCGUAAAGAGCGUGUAGGCGGCCUGACAGGUCUGCUGUGAAAACUCGAGGCUCAACCUCGAGAUGUCGGCGGAAACCGUCUGGCUAGAGUCCGGAAGAGGAGAGUGGAAUUCCUGGUGUAGCGGUGAAAUGCGCAGAUAUCAGGAAGAACACCUAUGGCGAAGGCGGGUCUCUGGGCCGAUACUGACGCUGAGGAGCGAAAGCGUGGGGAGCGAACAGG
rnacentral:rRNA from 1 species